AAAUGGUAUGUAGGAAUUUCGGACGCGGGUUCAACUCCCGCCAGCUCCACCA
rnacentral:tmRNA from 1 species